rnacentral:rRNA from 1 species
AUUGAACGCUGGCGGCAGGCCUAACACAUGCAAGUCGAGCGGAUGAAGGGAGCUUGCUCCUGGAUUCAGCGGCGGACGGGUGAGUAAUGCCUAGGAAUCUGCCUGGUAGUGGGGGAUAACGUCCGGAAACGGGCGCUAAUACCGCAUACGUCCUGAGGGUGAAAGUGGGGGAUCUUCGGACAUCACGCUAUCAGAUGAGCCUAGGUCGGAGUAGCUAGUUGGUGGGGUAAAGGCCUACCAAGGCGACGAUCCGUAACUGGUCUGAGAGGAUGAUCAGUCACACGGGAACUGAGACACGGUCCAGACUCCUACGGGAGGCAGCAGUGGGGAAUAUUGGACAAUGGGCGAAAGCCUGAUCCAGCCAUGCCGCGUGUGUGAAGAAGGUCUUCGGAUUGUAAAGCACUUUAAGUUGGGAGGAAGGGCAGUAAGUUAAUACCUCGCUGUUUUGACGUUACCAACAGAAUAAGCACCGGCUAACUUCGUG